rnacentral:lncRNA from 1 species
CACCACCCAUUCAUCUGUUGAUAGACAUUUGCGUUGCUUCCAUGUCUUGGCUAUUGUAAAUAGUGAUGCUGUGAACAUUGGGGUACAUGUAUCUUUUCAAAUUAGAGUUUUCAUCUUUUCUGGAUAUAUGUCNNNNNNNNNNAUCCCUGAUCUCAAAUGACUUAUGAUGAAAUAUGGACACACUUCUCCACACAAGACAAAAUUUGAUGUUACAUGCAAGCGGUAUAAAAGAAAGCAGGCAUAAAAAAAGAAGUAUCUCAGUAAAACGAUAG